rnacentral:rRNA from 1 species
GAUGAACGCUGGCGGCGUGCCUAAUACAUGCAAGUCGAGCGAACAGAUGAGGAGCUUGCUCCUCUGACGUUAGCGGCGGACGGGUGAGUAACACGUGGAUAACCUACCUAUAAGACUGGGAUAACUUCGGGAAACCGGAGCUAAUACCGGAUAAUAUAUUGAACCGCAUGGUUCAAUAGUGAAAGACGGUUUUGCUGUCACUUAUAGAUGGAUCCGCGCCGCAUUAGCUAGUUGGUAAGGUAACGGCUUACCAAGGCAACGAUGCGUAGCCGACCUGAGAGGGUGAUCGGCCACACUGGAACGGAGACACGGUCCAGACUCCUACGGGAGGCAGCAGUAGGGAAUCGUCCGCAAUGGUCGAAAGCCUGACGGAGCAACGCCGCGUGAGUGAUGAAGGUCUUCGGAUCGUAAAACUCUGUUAUUAGGGAAGAACAAAUGUGUAAGUAACUAUGCACGUCUUGACGGUACCUAAUCAGAAAGCCACGGCUAACUACGUG